CUGAAUUAUUCUUUGAAAUGUAAAAAUGAACUCAUAAGCAUAAUUAAGGAAAGCAAACCAACGCAAACUAAACCCCAGCUUUUCUUUUUAAAUGCAAUUGUGAUAUUUUGUACACCAAUGAACGAAUUGUUACAGCGAAAGAAACCAAAUCAACAAUGUCUAAGCCUUAGGUUAUAUUCAAUGACACAUCCCAUUCGAAAUACAUUUAUUCCGCCGGUUCAACAUAGUGGUGGAUUCUUUGAAGAAUCCUUUGGGUUACUGAUAUGAUGGAUAAAAUAUAAUCUCAGGAAUAGAGUCGUGGGUGUCUUGCACCAACCGGAUAUAAAUGAUAGAUGGAACAUGGUGUUCCAAGCAGGUGUGAGGUUGAUCGAUGAAGGACAAGAUUUUGUUGUAAUUGUACAUUAUGCCGCACACCUAAUGUCUUAUCUAGGCUCUCGGAUGCUGUAAGGGAACUUGGGCCUGGAGAAUCAUCACAUGUACGUACCUCUUCCUUUUUCACUAAUUUAUCUCCAGUAAUAUUGUAGAUAUGUUCUUAAAAAGUUGAAAUACAUGUUGUUUUCUCUCUGAUUUUCAUAGUCCAGUUUCAAAUCAUAUCUUAUCUUGACUUUAUCCAAUUGUACAUUCAUUAUUCGAGAAAUUUUCGGAUGUGGUAAAGGACAUACAGAAGCUAUGAUGACGAAGCUAGCUACAAGAAAAAGUGGUGUUAGUUUAGGUUGAUUGAAGUUGGCAUGGAAAACCAAGAUUCUUUUCGGAUUUUCCUGUUUACGUUUGAAAUUGAACAUGCAUGCCGCUAAUGUAGUUGGCAUUUUAAUGCAACCACUACCAAGGUACUAUUAGAAAAUGGUUGGAGCUAUCUUUCCUGCCUUCUGUGUGCCAAAAACAUUGUUGGUGACCUUCUUGAAGUGUGCAUCAGAUGUUGAAAUGCUCAUUCCAAGCAAAGGUUUCUACUCCAUUUUAAAGUUGAAGACAUCACCGGCUCGGCAUCUUCGUAGCUCCUGAUAGUGAGGUCUAGAAAUAUGCAGCAAUCCACAAUUUCGAAGGAUAUUGCCAAAGAGGCGGUGAUGACAGAAUUCUCGCAGAUCCUCAAUAACAC